AAGGAUGUCAAGGAAACAUUGGACAGAAGUAAAAACCCAGCCUUCUCACCACCAGCCAUGUGAGGAAAAUGGAUUGAUGACAGAACAAACAUAUGGUGCUAUUUUACAUCAUAUGAAUGCUGGAUCGAAAGCAUUUUAGAAGACCUCUGGACUGGACGUCUAGACUGAUUAACCAAGUAACACCCGACUGUUGAAAUCCCAGAUUCCCCUCUGUACUCCAGCAGACUCUUUCCAAAGCUAUUUAUAUAAAAAUAUGACACAGUUAUAUACACAUCUGACUCUGAUAUAACUAAAAUUCAAAGCUCUCUGCAAUCAGAAUUUUCUUUUGUUCAAAAAUGUUUUUUAAAUAACUAUCUUAUAAUAAACAAGCAGAUGUCUUGCAGCAUGUUA